rnacentral:rRNA from 1 species
UAGGGAAUCUUCGGCAAUGGACGAAAGUCUGNCCGAGCAACGCCGCGUGAGUGAAGAAGGUUUUCGGAUCGUAAAGCUCUGUUGUAAGUCAAGAACGUGUGUGAGAGUGGAAAGUUCACACAGUGACGGUAGCUUACCAGAAAGGGACGGCUAACUACGUGCCAGCAGCCGCGGUAGUACGUAGGUCCCGAGCGUUGUCCGGAUUUAUUGGGCGUAAAGGGAGCGCAGGCGGUCAGGAAAGUCUGGAGUAAAAGGCUAUGGCUCAACCAUAGUGUGCUCUGGAAACUGUCUGACUUGAAUGCAGAAGGGGAGAGUGGAAUUCCAUGUGUAGCGGUGAAAUGCGUAGAUAUAUGGAGGAACACCACCAGUGGCGAAAGCGGCUCUCUGGUCUGUCACUGACGCUGAGGCUCGAAAGCGUGGGUAGCGAACAGGAUUAGAUACCCUAGUAGUCCACGCCGUAAACGAUGAGUGCUAGGUGUUAGGCCCUUUCCGGGGCUUAGUGCCGGAGCUAACGCAAUAAGCACUCCGCCUGGGGAGUACGACCGCAAGGUUG